CUCUCCUGAAGCACCGACACAUUGAGUUCAGCAAAACUCAGACAUCUGGAUUUUAAAAAAAGAAAGAAAAAGAAAGAAAACAUGCAGUCAGCAGUAGGCAAGGAUGGCAAACACUGAUUGAAUAUAUUUACUAUCUUAGGUUCAUCAUGGGUAUUGCCCAACUCUACCUUCAUUGGCAGAAUACUUCAUCAGGAGGAUUCGACUUGAACCCAAUGCAAUGAACACUCCUCCAAGCAGAAAGGUCUGGCUGGUUGUCUUGGAGCAAAGGGCAAGUCGACUACACCACUCCAACUUCAUCCUGCUGCCUCACCGUCAGUGCCCUUUGGAUGAAAGGAUAAAAAUCCGCUGUAAACAGUACUUCCAGAAACUGGUUACAUGAGCCAAUCUAAGUGUGUUUUACUUGCUUUGUGUUAUACAAAGAUGCUUACAUCAUAGAACAAGCCAUGAUCUUGUUCUACAACUAUAGUUUUCUUACUUAAAAAAAAAAAUCGAGUUCAACCUGUGACCGAA